rnacentral:rRNA from 1 species
AUUGAACGCUGGCGGCAUGCCUUACACAUGCAAGUCGAACGGCAGCAUAGGAGCUUGCUCCUGAUGGCGAGUGGCGAACGGGUGAGUAAUAUAUCGGAACGUGCCCUAGAGUGGGGGAUAACUAGUCGAAAGACUAGCUAAUACCGCAUACGAUCUACGGAUGAAAGUGGGGGAUCGCAAGACCUCAUGCUCCUGGAGCGGCCGAUAUCUGAUUAGCUAGUUGGUGGGGUAAAAGCCUACCAAGGCAACGAUCAGUAGCUGGUCUGAGAGGACGACCAGCCACACUGGGACUGAGACACGGCCCAGACUCCUACGGGAGGCAGCAGUGGGGAAUUUUGGACAAUGGGGGCAACCCUGAUCCAGCAAUGCCGCGUGAGUGAAGAAGGCCUUCGGGUUGUAAAGCUCUUUUGUCAGGGAAGAAACGGUGGUGGCGAAUAACUACUACUAAUGACGGUACCUGAAGAAUAAGCACCGGCUAACUACGUGC